rnacentral:tRNA from 1 species
AGCAGUGUGGCUGAGUGGAAUAAGCACGGGUCUAGAAAUCAGAGCACCUGGGAUCUAAUCCCGGCUCUGCCA